GAUGAACGCUGGCGGCGUGCCUAAUACAUGCAAGUCGAGCGCAGCGGGGACGGUUGAGUAACACUUGGUAACACUCCUUUAAGUCUGGGUUAACUUCGGGUAACCCGUGCUAAACCGGAUAUUCAUGUAUGGAUCCUCGCUGCAUUAGCUAGUGGGUAAGGUAACGGCUUACCAAGGCAACGAUGCAUAGCCGACCUGAGAGGGUGAUCGGCCACACUGGAACUGAGACACGGUCCAGACUCCUACGGGAGGCAGCAGUAGGGAAUCUUCCGCAAUGGGCGAAAGCCUGACGGAGCAACGCCGCGUGAGUGAUGAAGGUCUUCGGAUCGUAAAACUCUGUUAUUAGGGAAGCGGUACCUAAUCAGAAAGCCACGGCUAACUACGUGCCAGCAGCCGCGGUAAUUC
rnacentral:rRNA from 1 species